GACGAACGCUGGCGGCGUGCCUAAUACAUACAAGUAGAACGCACAGUUUAUACCGUAGCUUGCUACACCAUAGACUGUGAGUUGCGAACGGGUGAGUAACGCGUAGGUAACCUGCCUGGUAGCGGGGGAUAACUAUUGGAAACGAUAGCUAAUACCGCAUAAUAUUAAUUAUUGCAUGAUAAUUAAUUGAAAGGUGCAAUUGCACCACUACCAGAUGGACCUGCGUUGUAUUAGCUAGUAGGUGAGGUAACGGCUCACCUAGGCGACGAUACAUAGCCGACCUGAGAGGGUGAUCGGCCACACUGGGACUGAGACACGGCCCAGACUCCUACGGGAGGCAGCAGUAGGGAAUCUUCGGCAAUGGACGAAAGUCUGACCGAGCAACGCCGCGUGAGUGAAGAAGGUUUUCGGAUCGUAAAGCUCUGUUGUAAGAGAAGAACGGGUGUGAGAGUGGAAAGCUCACACUGUGACGGUAUCUUACCAGAAAGGGACGGCUAACUACGUG
rnacentral:rRNA from 1 species